AAAUUGUUCCCUGACGCGUGUUCCAUUCCAGCUCAUAAAUAUCAACUGAGAGAGAAUCAUGAGCGAUGGUGGCUGAAUUAGGGUUCCGACGCGGUAGUUUUAAGGCGGUGUAGCGGCGUCGUCACCACAAUCACCAUUGGUUUGCACCUGCAAAACCCUAACCUAGCCCAACACCAUCUAUAUAAGCACUAAUCAAACACCAGGUCGUCAGAAUCGCCUUGAAUCGAAGACCCAGUGGAACACCGGUCUGCAUCUCUACCAACAUUAUCACCACUAUCAACCUCCACAUCCACACUCACACCUCUGAUAAGAGAAUAUCAAAUCAUUGUUGAUAUGUUCCUAGAAGACAACUAACAACUGAGUUUUGUUGAGUAGGCGAAAAGCUAUUCACCAUGAUCGGAAUUGGUGCUAUUGGUGAGGCAUGGUUACCCUGCCCUUUUUUACAAUCUCCAUCCCUUUUGAUGUUAUUUUUAUGCUGGAUGUAUUUCACAACUGUAAAACCUGUGCGGCAAUUGUUUGAGAGAGAAACUUUAGUGAGUAUUGUGAUUUUGGUAAUCGAAUAUGGAAAUUGCCCUUUAAUCUGUUCUUCAAGCCAAGAUUGGCCUAAUGUUGGAGGUUCAUAAUGAAAAUGAAAUAAAACGUUCUCAGACCCAGCUACGAUUGGUAUACAACAGCUGUCGAAUUUAAAGACAAUGGCGUGUUUAAUGGUACAAAAAGGCAAGAGAAAAAGUCAAACAUGAGCAUACAUGUAAAACGACUUAACUCAUAGGACCUAACACCAACCACAUUACCCAAACUCGUCACCCAAACGCGAGCCUUGCAAUCAGCACCACCAAGCUUUCGAACGCGGGUCAAACCGUUUCAACCAAGACCUUCAGCAAUCACGAGUCGUAUGCGUGCAAUAUCAGCUCAUCAACAUCAGAUGCAACAGAGCAAUUUGAAAACAAUACGAAGGUAGUAGAGGGGUGCUGCCUGUCCCACAUCCGCUACCGCUUUCCAGCACCACACACCACCAAUUGUAAACAAUGGGAAGUUUUAAAGUCGACAGUGACAAUGGCCCACUGCUGCUGCUGCCACAAAAUGUUUCUGGUCCUCUGGCAUUGCCCCCAUCCAGAAACCACCUACUGCCAAUGAUUCCUGCCCCUUUACCCUCAUCUGCAACACUUAAAAAUUUCCCCUUUGAAGAACUUGCAGUCGUCUGCUAUUAUUUUUCACCUCAGACGUGUGUCAGAAGGUCAUUCAUCCGUUAUGCAUAGAGCUUCUUUCGGGGAAGAUGUUUCUCGCAAUAAAAAUCCUGAAGCCGUUGUUACAAGUCUUCAUCUUUCAUCUCAGAAAGGAGGAGAUUGCAAACUCAUGGAGGUGGUAAAUGAACAUGGGGUGAAAAGACACUACAAGGUCGACUAGAGAAUAAUUUAAAAGCGAAAUGGGUUAGAAGGGUUGAAGUUUGCCCAAAGGCUGUCAUACAAUGUCUUAAACACCUUAUGCUAUUGCUUUUAUAAUUACAGAUUAAUGCAUUAGUUAUUUAUAGUGUUUCUUCAUGAGAGAACAUCAAUUGUUAUGUAAAAUGUACAGAAAACGAUUGUGGUGAAAUUGAAUAAGAAAUACUCAAUUUGUUCCCGACUUUCUAAUCA